UUCUAAUUCUACGUGGCUAUUCUUUUUUGCAGCCAUUGCUUUAUAUCCUGGAGAACUAGUAUUCUGUCCUCUUCCGGUUCAUACAGAGGGGCGUGGAGAUAUCCCGAAUAAAUCUGGAAGGUUGAGACGGAACAAAAGUGCGAUGGUGACGAAGCGAAAGUGAAGAUGCGAGGGCAAAGGAGCAAGAACGCGAAGUAAACGAAAUUACAAUACUUUGCACUUCGUCAUAUAUGACAUGAGAUGAUUUGACGUCACUGAUGGGAUCGGCAUCACCAUGGAGAAUAAACAGAGGACAACCAAUCGACUUCAUACGAUCUUCUAGUCUCAUUACAGCAUUCAUCCAAGCAACACACCAUCUGAUAGUAAAGUGAACAUGUUUUCUGUGAACAAAUUGAUAGGAUUCUAUAUUUGGAAAAUGAAAAUAAUCUGCUUGGCA